rfam:Sarcophilus harrisii ctg7180002521310, whole genome shotgun sequence.
UGCACGCUAGUGACGAUCACACAGAAAACCCCGCAAGGGCUUGUGUAGAUCUGAUGUUUGGUGUA